AAAUAUUUAUCUGACUCUUUUUGUGUGUGUUUGUUUUCUAGGGCAUUGCUACGGAUGCGAAAGCUACAAGCCAACUGUUGUUCACCCUAGCAGCCAAGCAUAUGGCACGGGUCCUAGAUGCUCUGUAGAACACGACAAAGUGUGUGGCUGUCAAUGUGAGGAUGAAUCGGCAAGCUGGAGCAAUAUAAAAUAAAAAUAAAAAAAAUAAAAAAAUUCCUCUCCUUCCUCCUCUUCUUCUUCUUCUUCUUCUUCUUCUUCUUCUUCUUCUUCUUCUUCUUCUCCUUCUUCUUAUUUUCCUCCUC
rnacentral:lncRNA from 1 species